rnacentral:rRNA from 1 species
GUGGGGAAUUUUGGACAAUGGGCGCAAGCCUGAUCCAGCCAUGCCGCGUGAGUGAAGAAGGCCUUCGGGUUGUAAAGCUCUUUCGGCGGGGAAGAAAUGGCACGCUCUAACAUAGCGUGUUGAUGACGGUACCCGCAUAAGAAGCACCGGCUAACUACGUGCCAGCAGCCGCGGUAAUACGUAGGGUGCGAGCGUUAAUCGGAAUUACUGGGCGUAAAGCGUGCGCAGGCGGUUUCGUAAGACAGAGGUGAAAUCCCCGGGCUCAACCUGGGAGUGGCCUUUGUGACUGCGAGGCUAGAGUGUGACAGAGGGGGAUGGAAUUCCGCGUGUAGCAGUGAAAUGCGUAGAUAUGCGGAGGAACACCGAUGGCGAAGGCAAUCCCCUGGGCCUGCACUGACGCUCAUGCACGAAAGCGUGGGGAGCAAACAGGAUUAGAUACCCUAGUAGUCC